rnacentral:rRNA from 1 species
AGAGUUUGAUCCUGGCUCAGAUUGAACGCUGGCGGCAUGCCUUACACAUGCAAGUCGAACGGCAGCACGGGGGCAACCCUGGUGGCGAGUGGCGAACGGGUGAGUAAUACAUCGGAACGUGUCCUGUAGUGGGGGAUAGCCCGGCGAAAGCCGGAUUAAUACCGCAUACGAUCUACGGAAGAAAGCGGGGGAUCGCAAGACCUCUCGCUACAGGGGCGGCCGAUGGCAGAUUAGCUAGUUGGUGGGGUAAAGGCCUACCAAGGCGACGAUCUGUAGCUGGUCUGAGAGGACGACCAGCCACACUGGGACUGAGACACGGCCCAGACUCCUACGGGAGGCAGCAGUGGGGAAUUUUGGACAAUGGGGGCAACCCUGAAUCCAGCAAUGCCGCGUGUGUGAAGAAGGCCUUCGGGUUGUAAAGCACUUUUGUCCGGA